rnacentral:rRNA from 1 species
UACGUAGGGCGCAAGCGUUGUCCGGAAUUAUUGGGCGUAAAGAGCUCGUAGGCGGCUUGUCGCGUCGACUGUGAAAUCCCGCGGCUCAACCGCGGGUCUGCAGUCGAUACGGGCAGGCUAGAGUUCGGUAGGGGAGACUGGAAUUCCUGGUGUAGCGGUGAAAUGCGUAGAGAUCAGGAGGAACACCUGUGGUGUAGACAGCUUACUGGACGAUAACUGACGCUGAGGCACGAAAGCGUGGGUAGCAAACAGG